rnacentral:rRNA from 1 species
CCUACGGGAGGCAGCAGUGGGGAAUAUUGCACAAUGGGCGGAAGCCUGAUGCAGCAACGCCGCGUGCGGGAUGACGGCCUUCGGGUUGUAAACCGCUUUCGCCUGUGACGAAGCGUGAGUGACGGUAAUGGGUAAAGAAGCACCGGCUAACUACGUGCCAGCAGCCGCGGUGAUACGUAGGGUGCGAGCGUUGUCCGGAUUUAUUGGGCGUAAAGGGCUCGUAGGUGGUUGAUCGCGUCGGAAGUGUAAUCUUGGGGCUUAACCCUGAGCGUGCUUUCGAUACGGGUUGACUUGAGGAAGGUAGGGGAGAAUGGAAUUCCUGGUGGAGCGGUGGAAUGCGCAGAUAUCAGGAGGAACACCAGUGGCGAAGGCGGUUCUCUGGGCCUUUCCUGACGCUGAGGAGCGAAAGCGUGGGGAGCGAACAGGCUUAGAUACCCUGGUAGUCCACGCUGUAAACGGUGGGUACUAGGUGUGGGGUCCAUUCCACGGGUUCCGUGCCGUAGCUAACGC